AAUGUGGCUCAGUGCUUGAGUGUUUGCCCAGCAAGUAUGAGGCUCUGGGUUCGAUCCCCAGCAUU
rnacentral:tRNA from 1 species